GCGGGCGUAGCUCAAUGGUAGAGCCCCAGCCUUCCAAGCUGGUCGUGAGGGUUCGAUNNUUCGAUCCCCUUCGCCCGCU
rnacentral:tRNA from 1 species